GACGAACGCUGGCGGCGUGCUUAACACAUGCAAGUCGAACGGUGAAGGGAUCAGCUUGCUGGUUCUGGAUGAGUGGCGAACGGGUGAGUAACACGUGAGUAACCUGCCCCCUUCUUCUGGAUAACCGCAUGAAAGUGUGGCUAAUACGGGAUAUUCUGCGCCUGCUGCAUGGUGGGUGUGGGAAAGGUAUUGUUUCGGUGGGGGAUGGGCUCGCGGCCUAUCAGCUUGUUGGUGGGGUGAUGGCCUACCAAGGCGGUGACGGGUAGCCGGCCUGAGAGGGUGGACGGUCACACUGGGACUGAGACACGGCCCAGACUCCUACGGGAGGCAGCAGUGGGGAAUAUUGCACAAUGGGCGCAAGCCUGAUGCAGCGACGCCGCGUGAGGGAUGGAGGCCUUCGGGUUGUGAACCUCUUUCGCCAGUGAAGCAGGCCUGUCCCUUGUGGGUGGGUUGACGGUAGCUGGAUAAGAAGCGCCGGCUAACUACGUG
rnacentral:rRNA from 1 species